UUGCGGUGAGCCGAGAUCCGGCCACUGCCCUCCAGCCUGGGUGACAGAGAAAGACUCCGUCUCAAAAUAAAUAAAUAAAUAAAUAAAUAAAUAAGAAUUUAGUGAGAGCUGGUUAUAGUUUGGAACCUCAUUUGUGAAAUAAACCAUAUUUCAAAAUAUUUUAAGCAGAAAUACAUUUAAGUUGUAGCCUACAAAUUACCAGAAUUUGUCCUAGUCACCUAAAUAAAAAAUGUAAAAGUUCUACAUUUUAACGUCCUUUCAACAUUUUAUGAACAGAAAACCCGGCAGGUAAACAGCUCAAGUCUGAAUGGGAAAUGAUAACAUAUAAGAUCAGCAGCAUCCGCGCAAAUAAAAAGUCAAAUUUUUAUCCAACACAAAACAAUUACAUACGCUUUAAUCAAAAAGAAAUUAGCAACGGCCAACCCCAAUCCCAUUACUUUCAAAAAAAGUCCUCUAACUUUCCUUUCCAGUUGAAUGUACACUGAUUGAAAUGGUUGUUUUAUGCGGACAAUUGAUUUUUUUAAAUGAAAUGUCUAAUAGGGAAGUCAGUACAUUACACUACCCAUUCCAGAAAGCAGCCUUCCAUUGAAUUUACUCAAACUAAUUGCUGAAUUAGAUGACCAUGGAAAGUUACUGAGGGCAUAUCCAGCACUUUCUUCUGAACCAAAACUAAAUCUGUUUUGGUCACUACUGCAUUGCUAUUCAAAAUCAAGGACUGUUCAUCUCUCUGGAAUAUUAGUAUCGUAAGCCUGGGGAGGUGACAAUAUCAUGUAAUGGAGUUGUGGGGAAAGGAGUCAGAGUGUUGUGGCAACUCCCGGACCAAGGGAAAGAGUCUGUAGAAGUUCAUAGAAUCAGCUGACAUGCUACGGUCAAAGAAUUUGCAAUUAGCAAUUGACCAAUCAAUUUUGAUUAACUCAUUCUGUAUGACUAUCAUAGGCUAUUAAAAAUAGGAAAGCGUGUUUCUAAAAUGGGUUUCAUAACAAGUGAUUUAAUGAUAAAAGCUUGGACAGUUUUCAGAAUUCAAAAAUUCCGAGAUACUAAUAUCUUUAAAAACUCCUGUCAUUGUGUGUGUGUGUGUGUGUGUAAACACUACCUGUGUAAUCAUCUAUUGAGAUUUAAAUUAGGACAUUUUCUCAGUGUAUCCCAGUUCUAAAGUUACUAUUUAUUAUAUUGCUAUCCUAGGAACAGAGUGAGAAAAGGCAAAGAGGUAAUUUAACACAGUCUUUUUCUGCUAAAAUCAGAGUGUCUCUCAUCUCUGCCUGAAUCCAAUACAUUGUGAUUACUGAAAUACAUAUUAUAGAAUAUCUACUUAUUUUGUGGAUUUAGGCAACGAUUAUGAUUGUUGCUUUUCUCACAUCUAAAAAUCAAAUUUAUAUUAUACAUGAAGACAUUUUCUAAAGAACUUUUGGUCUGUAUAAAAAUGAAUACUUAAUAGAAACGUAAUAUUAUUUUAUGUUAUUUGAAUUGUUAAGUUUAAGAAAAUAAAAUGUUUUUAAAUCUAUUACUUUUAACAACACUGUAAC
rnacentral:lncRNA from 1 species